UAGGCACAACAUAAUCAUUCAUACCAACCAUUAGGCAACAUUCAUCAACAAAAUAUAUAUACAACGCUUUAAUUGUUUUUCAACACCAAAAUAAAAUUGUUUUCAUGUCAACUGAUCUAACUUAAAAUAGUGCUUAAAAUAAUCAACAUCACUACAAUUUUCAGGGCAUCUUGGACUUUGAAGAAGUAUUUUUUUUACUUGGAUUAUUUGAACUGCUUCCCA
rnacentral:lncRNA from 1 species